UAAUGUACGGAUUAGAGA
rnacentral:misc_RNA from 1 species